AUGAACGCUAGCUACAGGCUUAACACAUGCAAGUCGAGGGGCAGCAUUUUAGUUUGCUUGCAAACUGAAGAUGGCGACCGGCGCACGGGUGAGUAACACGUAUCCAACCUGCCGAUAACUCCGGAAUAGCCUUUCGAAAGAAAGAUUAAUACCGGAUGGCAUACGAAUAUCGCAUGAUAUUUUUAUUAAAGAAUUUCGGUUAUCGAUGGGGAUGCGUUCCAUUAGUUUGUUGGCGGGGUAACGGCCCACCAAGACUACGAUGGAUAGGGGUUCUGAGAGGAAGGUCCCCCACAUUGGAACUGAGACACGGUCCAAACUCCUACGGGAGGCAGCAGUGAGGAAUAUUGGUCAAUGGGCGCGAGCCUGAACCAGCCAAGUAGCGUGAAGGAUGAAGGCUCUAUGGGUCGUAAACUUCUUUUAUAUGGGAAUAAAGUUUUCCACGUGUGGAAUUUUGUAUGUACCAUAUGAAUAAGGAUCGGCUAACUCCGUGCCAGCAGCCGCGGUAAUACGGAGGAUCCGAGCGUUAUCCGGAUUUAUUGGGUUUAAAGGGAGCGUAGGUGGAUUGUUAAGUCAGUUGUGAAAGUUUGCGGCUCAACCGUAAAAUUGCAGUUGAAACUGGCAGUCUUGAGUACAGUAGAGGUGGGCGGAAUUCGUGGUGUAGCGGUGAAAUGCUUAGAUAUCACGAAGAACUCCGAUUGCGAAGGCAGCUCACUAGACUGUCACUGACACUGAUGCUCGAAAGUGUGGGUAUCAAACAGGAUUAGAUACCCUGGUAGUCCACACAGUAAACGAUGAAUACUCGCUGUUUGCGAUAUACAGUAAGCGGCCAAGCGAAAGCAUUAAGUAUUCCACCUGGGGAGUACGCCGGCAACGGUGAAACUCAAAGGAAUUGACGGGGGCCCGCACAAGCGGAGGAACAUGUGGUUUAAUUCGAUGAUACGCGAGGAACCUUACCCGGGCUUAAAUUGCAACAGAAUAUAUUGGAAACAGUAUAGCCGUAAGGCUGUUGUGAAGGUGCUGCAUGGUUGUCGUCAGCUCGUGCCGUGAGGUGUCGGCUUAAGUGCCAUAACGAGCGCAACCCUUAUCUUUAGUUACUAACAGGUUAUGCUGAGGACUCUAGAGAGACUGCCGUCGUAAGAUGUGAGGAAGGUGGGGAUGACGUCAAAUCAGCACGGCCCUUACGUCCGGGGCUACACACGUGUUACAAUGGGGGGUACAGAAGGCGGCUACCUGGUGACAGGAUGCUAAUCCCAAAAACCUCUCUCAGUUCGGAUCGAAGUCUGCAACCCGACUUCGUGAAGCUGGAUUCGCUAGUAAUCGCGCAUCAGCCAUGGCGCGGUGAAUACGUUCCCGGGCCUUGUACACACCGCCCGUCAAGCCAUGAAAGCCGGGGGUACCUGAAGUACGUAACCGCAAGGAGCGUCCUAGGGUAAAACUGGUAAUUGGGGCU
rnacentral:rRNA from 1 species